UCCAGGGAUCUUUUCCUGCAGAUCAAGGCAUCCUCUUCUAUGUUCCUGCCUGGCAGGAUUUCCCAGCUGUUAACAAGCUCCUCUUCUGGGAAGUGGGAGCUCCAGCCCUGCUCUAGACUUUUUCUUGCCUUCAGCUUCAAGCAUGUAUUUAUGAAGUGCCCAUCAUAGUCCAGAUACCAGUACUGGUGACUACUGAGGAAAAAAAGGCCACCUUGAGCGCAGAGAUCCUUUUUUUAAGGAGUGUGAAGAAAUGAACACUAGCUUGCCACAUGUGAGUUGACC
rnacentral:lncRNA from 1 species